CCUCUGUGAAUCAGGAUAGCAUUAAACAACUUUCCUUUCAGUCCUGGUCAUGUGCAGAGGUCCAGAAAGGGCUCUGGCCUUCUCUGUGUCAUGCCUUUGGUACCGGUGGCUUCCAGUCCGUGAGUACUAACCUCGAGCACCCGGACAUCA
ensembl:snoRNA